CCUACGGGAGGCUGCAGCGGGGAAUAUUGCACAAUGGGCGCAAGCCUGAUGCAGCCAUGCCGCGUGUGUGAAGAAGGCCUUCGGGUUGUAAAGCACUUUCAGCGGGGAGGAAGGCGGUGAGGUUAAUAACCUCAUCGAUUGACGUUACCCGCAGAAGAAGCACCGGCUAACUCCGUGCCAGCAGCCGCGGUAAUACGGAGGGUGCAAGCGUUAAUCGGAAUUACUGGGCGUAAAGCGCACGCAGGCGGUCUGUCAAGUCGGAUGUGAAAUCCCCGGGCUCAACCUGGGAACUGCAUUCGAAACUGGCAGGCUAGAGUCUUGUAGAGGGGGGUAGAAUUCCAGGUGUAGCGGUGAAAUGCGUAGAGAUCUGGAGGAAUACCGGUGGCGAAGGCGGCCCCCUGGACAAAGACUGACGCUCAGGUGCGAAAGCGAGGGGAGCAAACAGGAUUGGAUACCCCAGUAGUC
rnacentral:rRNA from 1 species